rnacentral:rRNA from 1 species
UACGGAGGGUGCGAGCGUUGUCCGGAAUCAUUGGGCGUAAAGGGCGCGUAGGUGGCGGGACAAGCGUGCGGUGAAAGCUCGGGGCUCAACCCCGAGUCGGCCGUGCGGACUGUCUUGCUUGAGCACUGUAGAGGCAGGCGGAAUUCCGGGUGUAGCGGUGGAAUGCGUAGAGAUCCGGAAGAACACCGGUGGCGAAGGCGGCCUGCUGGGCAGUUGCUGACACUGAGGCGCGACAGCGUGGGGAGCAAACAGG